rnacentral:lncRNA from 1 species
CUCGGGCCAGGCUUGGACUUGCCUAAAUAAGUCCAAUUUUUUUUCAGGCAUAAAUUUUUAAGCCCAGCCCGAAAAGUCCGGCCCAAAUAUGGCCCAUCGGGCUGGGCCUUGUUUAGGCGGGGGUCCAGUUCCACCCCUACUAACGUGGCAGUAAUGAGGUGGUGCUGUGAUCAAUAAUGUGGCAACUAUGAAAAUGCCACAUCAUUACGGCAUUAAUAGAACAUCAGAAUCCAUGGCAGUAAUGAGGUGGUGCUGUGAUCAAUAAUGUGGCAACUAUGAAAAUGCCACAUCAUUACGGCAUUAAUAGAACAUCAGAAUCCAAU